rnacentral:rRNA from 1 species
CCUACGGGAGGCAGCAGUGAGGAAUAUUGGUCAAUGGGCGAGAGCCUGAACCAGCCAAGUCGCGUGAGGGAGUACUGCCCUAUGGGUUGUAAACCUCUUUUGUCGGGGAGCAAAAGCCGGACGUGUCCGGCUGUGAGAGUACCCGAAGAAAAAGCAUCGGCAAACUUCGUGCCAGCAGCCCGGGUAAUACGGGGGAUGCGAGCGUUAUCCGGAUUUAUUGGGUUUAAAGGGUGCGCAGGCGGGUUUUUAAGUCUGCGGUAAAAUCGUGGGGCCCAACCCCAUCCAGCCGUUGAAACUGGGGAUCUAGAGUGUGCGAGAGGUAUGCGGAAUGCGUGGUGUAGCGGUGAAAUGCAUAGAUAUCACGCAGAACCCCGAUUGCGAAGGCAGCAUACCGGUGCACAACUGACGCUCAGGCACGAAAGCGUGGGUAUCGAACAGGAUUAGAUACCCCUGUAGUC